AACACAGCACGGAGUUUUACACUUUAAAUUUUUGGCUGUUCGCAAUUUGUGAUGGCGUUUCCUUGGACGAGAUAUGAUUUGGCGAGAAAAAUAUUGCGUGAGUAUCUCAUAUUUGAUCUUUAUAUUGUCUUUUACGUCAUUGUUAUUUAUGAAUUUAAUGUCGACGAGGUAGAGCAGGGACGUGUUUGUUUUCAAGUUUUCUUUCUGUUCAAGUUUUGCGAGUAUUUCAAGGACUCAUCUACACUUACGUCUACCUAAUGUCUAUCUAAUAUUUAGGGACGAUUUCAUGCUGUCCUUUACCAUGGACCAAUCUCUCAUUCCAUCUUCUAGAGAACUUUGGAUAACUGAUUGGUGGUUUCAUGUAUCAGACAUCAAGCACAUUGAUGACACAAAUCAUAAACAAGGUUACUUUUUUUAAUUUUAUUUACGGGUUCCAAGUUACUUGUUUCUAAAUUGUCAUGGCAGACUUUAUGAGAAGUAAUGUCCUUUCAAGAAAGGAACAAGGUCCCUUAUUUGCUAAUCCAAUAGCUGCUACCCUUGAAUCUCCCCUUUUACUUCCUUAAACGGGCCUUCUUGAUUUGAGCGGAUUUGAGGGUAAUCCUUUGCUUCUUAUUGUGGACUUCAACCAUUGCUGGAAGCCUGGAAACCAACCUUGAGAGCAUGCUGUCAUUCAAGACUGUUGGAAUUGUGUAGUUAGCUAAAUUACAAGUGCAUAUCUGGGCUCCCUUCUUUUCUAUGGCCCCGUUUCCCUAACUAACCACUAACCAACGCCCGCCGGUGGUCACUCACCCGCUGUGAA